rnacentral:rRNA from 1 species
AUUGAACGCUGGCGGCAGGCCUAACACAUGCAAGUCGAGCGAGCGGCGGACGGGUGAGUAAUGUAUGGGGACUGCCCGAUAGAGGGGGAUAACUACUGGAAACGGUGGCUAAUACCGCAUACUAUCGGAUAACCCAUAUGGGAUUAGCUAGUAGGUGGGGUAAAGGCUCACCUAGGCGACGAUCUCUAGCUGGUCUGAGAGGAUGAUCAUCCACACUGGAACUGAGACACGGCCCAGACUCCUACGGAGGCAGCAGUGGGGAAUCUUCCGCAAUGGACGAAAGUCUGACGGAGCAACGCCGCGUGUAUGAAGAAGGCCUUCGGGUUGUAAAGUACUUUCAGCGAGGAGGCGUUACUCGCAGAAGAAGCACCGGCUAACUCCGUGCCAGCAGCCGCGGUAAUAC